rnacentral:rRNA from 1 species
CAGCAGCCGCGGGAAUACAGAGGGUGCGAGCGUUAAUCGGAUUUACUGGGCGUAAAGCGUGCGUAGGCGGCUUUUUAAGUUGGAUGUGAAAUCCCUGAGCUUAACUUAGGAAUUGCAUUCGAUACUGGGAAGCUAGAGUAUGGGAGAGGAUGGUAGAAUUCCAGGUGUAGCGGUGAAAUGCGUAGAGAUCUGGAGGAAUACCGAUGGCGAAGGCAGCCAUCUGGCCUAAUACUGACGCUGAGGUACGAAAGCAUGGGGAGCAAACAGGAUUAGAUACCCGUGUAGUCCCUGUCUCUUAUAC